GACGAACGCUGGCGGCGUGCUUAACACAUGCAAGUCGAACGGAAAGGCCCUGCUUUUGUGGGGUGCUCGAGUGGCGAACGGGUGAGUAACACGUGAGUAACCUGCCCUUUACUUUGGGAUAACUUCAGGAAACUGGGGCUAAUACCGGAUAGGAGCUCCUGCUGCAUGGUGGGGGUUGGAAAGUUUCGGCGGUUGGGGAUGGACUCGCGGCUUAUCAGCUUGUUGGUGGGGUAGUGGCUUACCAUGGCUUUGACGGGUAGCCGGCCUGAGAGGGUGACCGGCCACAUUGGGACUGAGAUACGGCCCAGACUCCUACGGGAGGCAGCAGUGGGGAAUAUUGCACAAUGGGCGGAAGCCUGAUGCAGCAACGCCGCGUGCGGGAUGACGGCCUUCGGGUUGUAAACCGCUUUCGCCUGUGACGAAGCGUGAGUGACGGUAAUGGGUAAAGAAGCACCGGCUAACUACGUG
rnacentral:rRNA from 1 species